rnacentral:misc_RNA from 1 species
UAUGAAGAACGUAGCGAAAUGCGAUAAGUAAUGUGAAUUGCAGAAUUCAGUGAAUCAUCGAAUCUUUGAACGCACAUUGCGCCCCCUGGUAUUCCGGGGGGCAUGCCUGUCCGAGCGUCAUUACAACCCUCAAGCUCAGCUUGGUGUUGGGCCCCGCCGCCCCGGCGGGCCCUAAAGUCAGUGGCGGUGCCGUCCGGCUCCGAGCGUAGUAAUUCUUCUCGCUCUGGAGGCCCGGUCGUGUGCUCGCCAGCAACCCCCAAUUUUUUUCAGGUUGACCUCGGAUCAGGUAGGGAUACCCGCUGAACUUAAGCAUAUCAAUAAGCGGAGGA